AUGUAAAAGUACCUCAAUUCAAUCGUGGAAGGUACAUUGAAAUUUUGGGAGCUUAAGUACAGAAGAGGAUAGCGGAAAUCCACGUGUAGCGGUGAAUAAUGUAGAGAUGUGGAGGAUCACCAGUGGCGAAGGUGACUCUAAAGGUCUGUAUCUGACGGAGGGGCGCGAAAGCGUGGGGAAGCAAACAGGAUUAGAUACCACUGAUAGUCCACGCUGUAAAAGAUGAGCGCUAAAUGUUAGGGGGUUUCCUCCCCUUAUUGCUGCAGGUAAAGCAUUAAGCACUCCACGUGGGGAGUAUGGCCGCAUAGCCUGAAAUUCAAAGGAAUUGACGGGGUCCCGCACAAUCGGUGGAGCAUAUGGUUUAAUUCGAAGCAACGGGAAGAACCUUACCAGGUCUUGACAUCUCAAUGACUGGUUUAGAGAUAAGUCUUUCCCUUAGGGGACAUUGGUGACAGGUGGUGCUUGGUGGUCGUCAGCUCGUGUCGUGAGAUGUUGGGUUAAGUCCCGCAUACGAGCGCAAGCCUUGAUGGUUAGUUGCCAGCAUUUUGUUGGGCACUCUAAGAGAGAGCUGCCGGUGACAAACUCGGAGGAAUGGUGGGGAUGAGCGUCACAUACAAUCAGGGCUCCCUUAUGUGCCUGGGCUAAAUUACGAAAUACCCGCGGCCGACCUGGGCGACCGAGACUGGAUGCUCGGAAAGGUGAAUAGUGGGGAAAUAAUUGUCGUUAUAUAUAGUGAGAAUAAUAAGUAAUAUGUAGUUUUGAUAAUUGUAAGCAAAUAUG
rnacentral:rRNA from 1 species